GACGAACGCUGGCGGCGUGCUUAACACAUGCAAGUCGAACGGAAAGGCCCUGCUUGCAGGGUACUCGAGUGGCGAACGUGUGAGUAACACGUGGGUGAUCUGCCCUGCACUUCGGGAUAAUCCUGGGAAACUGGGUCUAAUACCGUAUAGGAGCCAUUUUUAGUGUGAUGGUUGGAAAGUUUUUUCGGUGUAGGAUGAGCUCGCGGCCUAUCAGCUUGUUGGUGGGGUAAUGGCCUACCAAGGCGGCGACGGGUAGCCGGCCUGAGAGGGUGGACGGCCACAUUGGGACUGAGAUACGGCCAAGACUCCGACGGGAGGCAGCAGUGGGGAAUAUUGCACAAUGGGAGCAAGCCUGAUGCAGCGACGACGCGUGGGGGAUGACGGACUUCGGGUUGUAAACUCCUUUAGCUAGGGACGAAGCUUUUUGUGAAGGUACCUAGAUAAGAAGCACCGGCUAACUACGUG
rnacentral:rRNA from 1 species